rnacentral:rRNA from 1 species
UUAACGGAGAGUUUGAUCCUGGCUCAGGACGAACGCUGGCGGCGUGCCUAACACAUGCAAGUCGAACGGCAGCGAGAGGGUGCUUGCAAAAUGUCGGCGAGUGGCGAACGGGUGAGUAACGCGUAGGAACCUGCCCCAAAGUGAGGGAUAACUGCUGGAAACGGUAGCUAAUACCGCAUAUGGUAUUCGGAUUAAAGGACAAAUCAGCAAUAGGAGAAGCCUGCGUUGGAUUAGCUAGUUGGUGGGGUAAAGGCUCACCAAGGCGACGAUCCAUAGCCGGCCUGAGAGGAUGAUCGGCCACACUGGGACUGAGACACGGCCCAGACUCCUACGGGAGGCAGCAGUGGGGAAUCUUCCACAAUGGGCGAAAGCCUGAUGGAGCAACGCCGCGUGAGGGAUGAAGGCCUUCGGGUUGUAAACUUCUUUUAUGAGUGAAGAAUAUGACGGUAACUCACGAGAAAGCGCCGGCUAACUACGUGCCAGCAGCCGCGGUAAUACGUAGGGCGCGAGCGUUGUCCGGAAUUAUUGGGCGUAAAGAGCUGCGUAGGCGGUUUAAUAAGUGAAUAGUGAAACCUGGUGGCUCAACCAUACAGACUAUUAUUAAAACUGUUAAACUAGAGAAUGGUAGAGGAAACUGGAAUUCCUUGUGUAGCGGUGAAAUGCGUAGAUAUUAGGAGGAACACCGGUGGCGAAGGCAGCUUUCUGGACUGUAACUGACGCUGAGGCUCGAAAGCGUGGGGAGCGAACAGGAUUAGAUACCCCGGUAGUCCACGCCGUAAACGAUGGGUACUAGGUGUUGGAGGUAUCGACCCCUUCAGUGCCGAAGCUAACGCAUUAAGUACCCCGCCUGGGGAGUACGACCGCAAGGUUGAAACUCAAAGGAAUUGACGGGGGCCCGCACAAGCGGUGGAGCAUGUGGUUUAAUUCGAAGCAACGCGAAGAACCUUACCAGGUCUUGACAUCCAGAGAACGUCUCGAGAGAUAGAGUGUGCCUUCGGGAACCCUGUGACAGGUGGUGCAUGGCUGUCGUCAGCUCGUGUCGUGAGAUGUUGGGUUAAGUCCCGCAACGAGCGCAACCCUUGUGAAUAGUUGUAUUUUUCUAGUCAGACUGCCCCGGUAACGGGGAGGAAGGAGGGGAUGACGUCAAGUCAGCAUGUCCCUUAUGACCUGGGCUACACACGUGCUACAAUGGCUAGUACAAAGAGAAGCGAAGCCGCGAGGUGAAGCUAAUCUCAUCAAAGCCAGUCUCAGUUCGGAUUGUAGGCUGCAACUCGCCUACAUGAAGUCGGAAUCGCUAGUAAUCGCGGAUCAGCAAGUCGCGGUGAAUACGUUCCCGGGCCUUGUACACACCGCCCGUCACACCACGAAAGUGAGUAACACCCGAAGUCCGAUUCGGCGGCCUAAGGUGGGAUAGAUGAUUGGGGUGAAGUCGUAACAAGGUAGCCGUAUCGGAAGGUGCGGAUGGAUCACCUCCUUU